AUGUCAACAAAACAGCCUGAUGAGCUUCUCAGGGGCAACGUAGUGACUGCUUGAGAAUUGCAGAUUCAACAAUCGCUGCUGUUGCUCAUCAUGACAUCUCAGCACGAGGUCCUCCGGAACACGUGAGCGUGACGCUAUACAUUACCUCCUUGGAUGCAUAUACUUUCCAUCUUUCCAGCAGCUGUUUGUUCUCAUCAUUCAACUUCUGCGCUAUGACUGUUUGCUGGACAUGCCGAUCAAUCAGCUAUUGUUUCAGGGAUCUCGAACUAGGUUACGAUCCCCAGUCGCCGGUGAUAGUAAACAAUGGCCCUCUGUACGCCCGUACCCCAAUCAUAGCAGCACGCGUUCAUACCAGUCCACCUGCAGCAGCUAGGAUAUCAAUCUCUGCAGGAGAGACCAUCAGCGUGCUGCGAUGUAUAGAUACAAAGCUCCGACAACCGCAAUAGUUCGGAGUCCAUUCAAUGCACCGAUGAUGUGAUUGGGUCAGAAAAAAAGACCCUGAGUCCCCCCCCUGCCAUGCAUCUCUCGAUACCAUAACAUAUGGCUGUGCAAUGGGACUCCUGACACUGCAAUGCAUGUAUAAUCUGAUUUCUACUCAUGUCUUCCGUUCCGAAUUCCACUUAUCAUGAGAGGGUGGACUCCGAACCAUCUCAAUCGGCAUUUUUUGUCAUUUCUCCAAGGAGCUGAAAUGGGUGCUCACAAUUGAACUUGGAUAACAAGCGCUGUCUCUUGACAGAGCAAUUCGAUGACGCACAGCCACGAAUUUAGCAGCCAUUACAGAUGAAGUUCAGUCUCACGAGCAACAGAUGGAAAAAUGUGCAAAAUAUGUCCGACAAUGUGAAGCCCAAUGCCAACCCAACACUUUUUCGAGGGCUGUUUUUAGGUCUGGAUUCGUCAACAUGUCCAUUUGUGUGUGCAUUUUCUCAGCUUCCAGAGACAUGUCUGAGAAUCCAGAUCCCUUUUCAUCCCAUGUUCCUCUACCUUCCUUGCUGUCUUCUCUGCAUCCAAACCAAGUUAUUAAUAAAGCUCACUUGUUAUAAUCGUG